rnacentral:rRNA from 1 species
GCUUAACACAUGCAAGUCGAGCGGUAGCACAGGGGAGCUUGCUCCCCGGGUGACGAGCGGCGGACGGGUGAGUAAUGUCUGGGAAACUGCCUGAUGGAGGGGGAUAACCACUGGAAACGGUAGCUAAUACCGCAUAACGUCGCAAGACCAAAGAGGGGGACCUUCGGGCCUCUUGCCAUCAGAUGUGCCCAGAUGGGAUUAGCUAGUAGGUGGGGUAAUGGCUCACCUAGGCGACGAUCCCUAGCUGGUCUGAGAGGAUGACCAGCCACACUGGAACUGAGACACGGUCCAGACUCCUACGGGAGGCAGCAGUGGGGAAUAUUGCACAAUGGGCGCAAGCCUGAUGCAGCCAUGCCGCGUGUGUGAAGAAGGCCUUCGGGUUGUAAAGCACUUUCAGCGAGGAGGAAGGUGGUGAACUUAAUACGUUCAUCAAUUGACGUUACUCGCAGAAGAAGCACCGGCUAACUCCGUGCCAGCAGCCGCGGUAAUACGGAGGGUGCAAGCGUUAAUCGGAAUUACUGGGCGUAAAGCGCACGCAGGCGGUUUGUUAAGUCAGAUGUGAAAUCCCCGGGCUCAACCUGGGAACUGCAUUUGAAACUGGCAAGCUAGAGUCUCGUAGAGGGGGGUAGAAUUCCAGGUGUAGCGGUGAAAUGCGUAGAGAUCUGGAGGAAUACCGGUGGCGAAGGCGGCCCCCUGGACGAAGACUGACGCUCAGGUGCGA